CCUACGGGUGGCAGCAGUGGGGAAUAUUGGACAAUGGGCGAAAGCCUGAUCCAGCCAUGCCGCGUGUGUGAAGAAGGCCUUCGGGUUGUAAAGCACUUUCAGUGGGGAAGAAAGCCUUGGGGCUAAUACCCUCGAGGAAGGACAUCACCCACAGAAGAAGCACCGGCUAACUCCGUGCCAGCAGCCGCGGUAAUACGGAGGGUGCGAGCGUUAAUCGGAAUUACUGGGCGUAAAGCGCGCGUAGGCGGUCUGAUAAGCCGGUUGUGAAAGCCCCGGGCUCAACCUGGGAACGGCAUCCGGAACUGUCAGGCUAGAGUGCAGGAGAGGAAGGUAGAAUUCCCGGUGUAGCGGUGAAAUGCGUAGAGAUCUGGAGGAAUACCAGUGGCGAAGGCGGCCUUCUGGACUGACACUGACGCUGAGGUGCGAAAGCGUGGGUAGCAAACAGGAUUAGAUACCCCUGUAGUC
rnacentral:rRNA from 1 species